UGGAUCUCAUAUCACAAGGUAUGGAUAAUCUGACAAGAAAUAGGUUCCAAAAACCUCGUAGGCCGAAACCUUGUCCUCAGGUGUGUCCUCCUCAGCAGUUCCAAUGGCCCAAAAUAGACUCAAAUAUAGAAAACUUGGAAGAUAUUACGAUUGACUUAGUAGGAUCGAGCGCUGAAGGCGACGAUAUGUGCGAAUAGGAACUAAGAACAAAAGGAAGCAAUUGGUAAAGAAAAAAAAACUAACCAGAAAAGUCAAACGUUAUAUAUCAAAUAUCUAUUUCAAAAAGAAGAUAAUUGAUUAAAAG